rnacentral:rRNA from 1 species
GACGAACGCUGGCGGCGUGCUUAACACAUGCAAGUCGAACGGAAAGGCCUGCUUUCCCUUGUGGAUUGCGGGUACUCGAGUGGCGAACGGGUGAGUAACACGUGAGUGAUCUGCCCCCAACUUGGGUAUAAGCCUGGGAAACUGGGUCUAAUUCCCGAUAGGACUGCAGGGUGGUGCCUGUGGUGGAAAACGAUUUUCUAGUGGUUGGGGAUGAGCUCGCGGCCUAUCAGCUUGUUGGUGGGGUAAUGGCCUACCAAGGCGGCGACGGGUAGCCGGCCUGAGAGGGUGGACGGCCACAUUGGGACUGAGAUACGGCCCAGACUCCUACGGGAGGCAGCAGUGGGGAAUAAUGCACAAUGGGCGGAAGCCUGAUGCAGCGACGCCGCGUGGGGGAUGACGGCCUUCGGGUUGUAAUCUCCUUUCGACCGCGAGGAAGCCACCUGGUUGGAAGGGUGGUGACGGUAGUGGUAGAAGAAGCACCGGCUAACUACGUG